rnacentral:rRNA from 1 species
ACGACUACAUAUCAGGCAUAUCAAUAAGCGGAGGAAAAGAAACUAACAAGGAUUCCCCUAGUAACGGCGAGUGAAGCGGGAAGAGCUCAAAUUUGAAAUCUUCAAGGUUCUACCUUGACGAAUUGUAGUUUAAAGAAGUGUUUUCGGUUAGAGGAGUAGUAAAGUUCUUUGGAAUAGGACAUCAUAGAGGGUGAGAAUCCCGUAUUUGACUAUUCUUUCUAGCUUUGUGAUACACUUUCAAAGAGUCGGAUUGUUUGGGAAUGCAGUCCAAAAUGGGUGGUAAAUUUCAUCUAAAGCUAAAUAUUGGCGAGAGACCGAUAGCGAACAAGUACCGUGAGGGAAAGAUGAAAAGAACUUUGAAAAGAGAGUUAAACAGGUACGUGAAAUUGUCAAAAGGGAAGCGUUUGACACCAGUGUUGUUUUCUACGAAAAUCAAUUUAAAUAUGCUUGAUGCUAAGCUAGUAUGACUUAUCCGCUUGUUGUUUAGUUUUCUGUGUCAUUUGUGAUGCACUUUUCGUGUAACAAGUCAACAUCAAUUUCUUUUGCUGUAAAAGGGUAGAAGGAAGGUGGCUUUCGCUUCGGUUGAAGUGUUUAUAGCCUUUAUGCCUCUGCAGGUCGGAGAGAUCGAGGUCUGCAGCGUAGACUCUUCGGGGUUAGAUACGUCUGUGCUAAGCUAUAGCUUUGUCAUAGACAACAUUGUUGACUAUGUUUAGUCAUGUAGCUUACCCGCUAGCUAUUUUACCUACGCUUAGGAUGUUGACACACGCGCGUGCUCG